rnacentral:rRNA from 1 species
UACAGAGGUCUCAAGCGUUGUUCGGAUUCAUUGGGCGUAAAGGGCGCGUAGGCGGCGGGGUAAGUCGGGUGUGAAAUCUCAGAGCUCAACUCUGAAACUGCACUCGAUACUGCUCUGCUUGAGGACUGGAGAGGAGACUGGAAUUCACGGUGUAGCAGUGAAAUGCGUAGAUAUCGUGAGGAAGACCAGUGGCGAAGGCGGGUCUCUGGACAGUUCCUGACGCUGAGGCGCGGAAGGCCAGGGGAGCAAAACGGG